AGAGUUUGAUCCUGGCUCAGGAUGAACGCUGGCGGCGUGCUUAACACAUGCAAGUCGAACGAACCUUCGGGUUAGUGGCGGACGGGUGAGUAACGCGUGGGAAUCUGCCCUCAGGAGGGGGAUAACGGUUGGAAACGACCGCUAAUACCCCAUAUGCCGAGAGGUGAAAUGAAUUUCGCCUGAGGAUGAGCCCGCGUCUGAUUAGCUAGUUGGUGUGGUAAUGGCUCACCAAGGCUUCGAUCAGUAGCUGGUCUGAGAGGAUGAUCAGCCACACUGGGACUGAGACACGGCCCAGACUCCUACGGGAGGCAGCAGUGGGGAAUUUUCCGCAAUGGGCGAAAGCCUGACGGAGCAACGCCGCGUGAGGGAUGAAGGCCUCUGGGCUGUAAACCUCUUUUCUCAAGGAAGAAGAUCUGACGGUACUUGAGGAAUAAGCCACGGCUAAUUCCGUGCCAGCAGCCGCGGUAAUACGGGAGUGGCAAGCGUUAUCCGGAAUUAUUGGGCGUAAAGCGUCCGCAGGCGGCCUUUCAAGUCUGCUGUUAAAACGUGGAGCUUAACUCCAUCAUGGCAGUGGAAACUGUUGGGCUUGAGUGUGGUAGGGGCAGAGGGAAUUCCCGGUGUAGCGGUGAAAUGCGUAGAUAUCGGGAAGAACACCAGUGGCGAAGGCGCUCUGCUGGGCCAUCACUGACGCUCAUGGACGAAAGCCAGGGGAGCGAAAGGGAUUAGAUACCCCUGUAGUCCUGGCCGUAAACGAUGAACACUAGGUGUCGGGGGAAUCGACCCCCUCGGUGUCGUAGCCAACGCGUUAAGUGUUCCGCCUGGGGAGUACGCACGCAAGUGUGAAACUCAAAGGAAUUGACGGGGGCCCGCACAAGCGGUGGAGUAUGUGGUUUAAUUCGAUGCAACGCGAAGAACCUUACCAGGAUUUGACAUCCUGCGAAUCUCUUGGAAACGAGAGAGUGCCUUCGGGAACGCAGUGACAGGUGGUGCAUGGCUGUCGUCAGCUCGUGUCGUGAGAUGUUGGGUUAAGUCCCGCAACGAGCGCAACCCACGUUUUUAGUUGCCAGCAUUUAGUUGGGCACUCUAGAGAGACCGCCGGUGAUAAACCGGAGGAAGGUGUGGAUGACGUCAAGUCAUCAUGCCCCUUACAUCCUGGGCUACACACGUACUACAAUGCUACGGACAAAGGGCAGCAAACUCGCGAGGGCAAGCAAAUCCCAUAAACCGUGGCUCAGUUCAGAUCGUAGGCUGCAACUCGCCUACGUGAAGGCGGAAUCGCUAGUAAUCGCAGGUCAGCAUACUGCGGUGAAUACGUUCCCGGGCCUUGUACACACCGCCCGUCACACCAUGGAAGUUGGCCACGCCCGAAGUCGUUACUCCAACCCUUGUGGAGGAGGACGCCGAAGGUGGGGCUGAUGACUGGGGUGAAGUCGUAACAAGGUAUCCGUACCGGAAGGUGCGGAUG
rnacentral:rRNA from 1 species